rnacentral:rRNA from 1 species
UGGGGAAUCUUGCACAAUGGAGGAAACUCUGAUGCAGCGACGCCGCGUGAGCGAAGAGGCCUUUCGGGGUGUAAAGCUCUUACGCCAGGGACGAUAAUGACGGUACCUGGAGAAGCAGCUGCGGCUAACUACGUGCCAGCAGCCGCGGUAAUACGUAGGCAGCAAGCGUUGUUCGGAAUUACUGGGCGUAAAGGGUGCGUAGGCGGCGCUCUAAGUUUGGUGUGAAAUCUCCCGGCUUAACUGGGAGGGUGCACUGAAAACUGGGGCGCUCGAGUAUGGGAGAGGAAAGCGGAAUUCCUGGUGUAGCGGUGAAAUGCGUAGAGAUCAGGAGGAACACCUGCGGUGCAGACGGCUUUCUGGACCAUCACUGACGCUGAGGCACGAAAGCGUGGGUAGCAAACA